UACGGAGGGUGCAAACGUUGCUCGGAAUCAUUGGGCGUAAAGCGCACGUAGGCGGACCGCUAAGUCGGAUGUGAAAGCCCUCGGCUUAACCGAGGAAGUGCAUUCGAAACUGACAGUCUUGAGUAUGGAAGAGGGUCGCGGAAUUCCCGGUGUAGAGGUGGAAAUUCGUAGAUAUCGGGAGGAACACCGGUGGCGAAGGCGGAUCUCUGGGCCAUUACGUGACGCUGAGGAGCGAAAGCGUGGGGAGCGAACGAGG
rnacentral:rRNA from 1 species